CAGCCCUAAACGAUGCGCGUUAGGUGUAUCGGUGACCACGAGUCACCGAGGUGCCGAAGGGAAACCGUGAAACGUGCCGCCUGGGAAGUACGGUCGCAAGGCUGAAACUUAAAGGAAUUGGCGGGGGGAGCACCACAACGGGUGGAGCCUGCGGUUUAAUUGGACUCAACGCCGGAAAGCUCACCGGAUAAGACAGCGGAAUGAUUGCCGGGCUGAAGACCCUGCAUGACCAGCUGAGAGGAGGUGCAUGGCGUAGUCGUGU
rnacentral:rRNA from 1 species